AGUUUUGCACAAAGGCAGUAUCACAGUCAAUGAGGUUUGUCUGAGGAAUGACUAUUGCUAAUUGAAAACUUUCCCAAAAUAAAACAGACUUAUAUGUUUCACUAUUUAUGACAUUUCAGUGUAUUUGUCACUCUUCAAGGUAGAUGUCAUAUGAAAAGA
rnacentral:snRNA from 1 species